rnacentral:lncRNA from 1 species
CGUCGAUUUAUCCAAAAGUUUUGAAGUUGCACAUAGGAAGUAGGACACAUUAGGAAUCUUUAUGUAGUUUAUUAUCCCCUGAGAUUUUGGCUAAGCUGUCAAAGAACAAAUGUAUGAAAUGUUUAAUCGCCGAAAAUUUCUAAAGACAAGUAGUUUAGAUUUCCCAAAUGGCAAAAGUCGUAGGAAUAUUGUUUGUCGUCAAUACGUUGUCAACUACGUCAGAAGUCUUAAAAUAAGUUCCACUGUUCAUGCUGUUGGCGGCAAUUUUAAAUUAU